rnacentral:rRNA from 1 species
AACACGACCGUACCGCAAACCGACACUGGUGCGCGAGAUGAGUAUUCUAAGGCGCUUGAGAGAACUCAGGAGAAGGAACUCGGCAAAUUGACACCGUAACUUCGGAAGAAGGUGUGCCUUUAGUAGGUGAACCUGUACAAGGGGAGCCCAAUGAGGUUGCAAAAAAUCGGUGGCUGCGACUGUUUAAUAAAAACACAGCACUCUGCAAACACGAAAGUGGACGUAUAGGGUGUGACGCCUGCCCGGUGCUGGAAGAUUAAAUGAUGGGGUGCAAGCUCUUGAUUGAAGUCCCAGUAAACGGCGGCCGUAACAAUAACGGUCCUAAGGUAGCGAAAUUCCUUGUCGGGUAAGUUCCGACCUGCACGAAUGGCGUAACGAUGGCCACACUGUCUCCUCCUGAGACUCAGCGAAGUUGAAAUGUUUGUGAUGAUGCAAUCUCCCCGCGGAAAGACGGAAAGACCCCAUGAACCUUUACUGUAGCUUUGUAUUGGACUUUGAACAGAUCUGUGUAGGAUAGGUGGGAGGCUUUGAAGUGUGGUCGCUAGAUCGCAUGGAGCCAACGUUGAAAUACCACCCUGGUGUGUUUGAGGUUCUAACCUAGGCCCGUAAUCCGGGUCGGGGACAGUGCAUGGUAGGCAGUUUGACUGGGGCGGUCUCCUCCCAAAGCGUAACGGAGGAGUUCGAAGGUACGCUAGGUACGGUCGGACAUCGUGCUAAUAGUGCAAUGGCAUAAGCGUGCUUAACUGCGAGACUGACAAGUCGAGCAGAUGCGAAAGCAGGACAUAGUGAUCCGGUGGUUCUGUAUGGAAGGGCCAUCGCUCAACGGAUAAAAGGUACUCUGGGGAUAACAGGCUGAUACCGCCCAAGAGUUCAUAUCGACGGCGGUGUUUGGCACCUCGAUGUCGGCUCAUCUCAUCCUGGGGCUGUAGCCGGUCCCAAGGGUAUGGCUGUUCGCCAUUUAAAGAGGUACGUGAGCUGGGUUUAAAACGUCGUGAGACAGUUUGGUCCCUAUCUUCCGUGGGCGCUGCAGAUUUGAGGAAGCCUGCUCCUAGUACGAGAGGACCGGAGUGGACACACCUCUGGUGUAUCGGUUGUCACGCCAGUGGCAUUGCCGAGUAGCUAUGUGUGGAAGAGAUAACCGCUGAAAGCAUCUAAGCGGGAAACUCGUUUCAAGAUGAGAUCUGCCGGGGCCUUGAGCCCCCUAAAGAGUCGUUCAAGACCAGGACGUUGAUAGGUCGGGUGUGGAAGCGCAGUAAUGCGUUAAGCUAACCGAUACUAAUUGCUCGUGCGGCUUGAUC